GAUGAACGCUGGCGGCGUGCCUAAUACAUGCAAGUCGAGCGAACAGACGAGGAGCUUGCUCCUCUGACGUUAGCGGCGGGCGGGUGAGGAACACGUGGAUAACCUACCUAUAAGACUGGGAUAAGGUCGGGAAACCGGAGCUAAUACCGGAUAAUAUAGUGAACCGCAUGGUUCAAUAGUGAAAGCCGGUUUUGCUGUCACUUAUAGAUGGAUCCGCGCCGCAUUAGCUAGUUGGUAAGGUAACGGCUUACCAAGGCAACGCUGCGUAGCCGACCUGAGAGGGUGAUCGGCCACACUGGAACUGAGACACGGUCCAGACUCCUACGGGAGGCAGCAGUAGGGAAUCUUCGGCAAUGGGCGAAAGCCUGACGGAGCAACGCCGCGUGAGUGAUGAAGGUCUUCGGAUCGUAAAACUCUGUUAUUAGGGAAGAACAAAUGUGUAAGUAACUAUGCCCGUCUUGACGGUACCUAAUCAGAAAGCCACGGCUAACUACGUG
rnacentral:rRNA from 1 species